GACGAACGCUGGCGGCGUGCUUAACACAUGCAAGUCGAACGGAUCAUCUUACUUCGGUGGGGUGGUUAGUGGCGAACGGGUGAGUAACACGUGAGUAACCUGCCCUUCACUGUGGGAUAACGGGGAGAAAUUCUUGCUAAUACCGCAUAUUCAUGUCUCAUCGCAUGGUGGGGUGUGGAAAGUUUUUUCGGUGGGGGAUGGACUCGCGGCCUAUCAGCUUGUUGGUGGGGUAGUGGCCUACCAAGGCUUUGACGGGUAGCCGGCCUGAGAGGGCGAGCAGCCACACUGGGACUGAUAUACGGCUCAGACUCCUACGGGAGGCAGCAGUGGGGAGUAUUGCACAAUGGGCGGAAGCCUGAUGCAGCAACGCCGCGUGCGGGAUGACGGCCUUCGGGUUGUAAACCGCUUUCACCCACGGCGAAUUUGACGGUAGUGGGAGAAGAAGCACCGGCUAACUACGUGCCAGCAGCCGCUGUAAAAC
rnacentral:rRNA from 1 species